GUGGGGGAUGAUGGAGGUGUUGAGGUCACACUCCGGUGGCUGCAUGGCUGCCGACAGCCAUUCACUGCACUCUGCCUUACUAACUGAACCCUGAUUUGGCUCACGUAUCAGUGGCCACACUCUUCAGGGAUAGGCACCUCUAGGAGGUGGAAGAAUCUGGAUUGGAUAAGCCAAUUACAAAAAUUCUAUUCCUGCUGCUUGUAAUUUUGUGCUAUGAUUCCAUCCAGUGAGAUAUGAAGGGAAAUCUGCUAGGGUGGCAGAACCUACUGGAAAAGUUCUUCUCGUUUUUUAAAAAGGAUUCAAGAGGCAAGAUUUCACUCUGUCACCCAGACUGGAGUGCAGUGGCACAAACAUAGCUCACUGAAGCCUCAAACUCCUGGGCUCAAGAGAUCCUUCUGCUUCAGCCUCCUGAGUAGCUGGGACUUCAGAAUCCCAGUCCUCUCUCUCUCACUGACCCCGAAGAUAAGCAUUGGAAAGGGGAGCUUUGGGGAAAUGAAUCUGCCCUGUCAUCUGCGUAUAGAGCUAAUCUUAAAUCCCAACUGCCAAAUGGAUCCUGAGGUGUCAGAAACUCUCCCGAGAUAAGGGGGCUUCUAGCAACCAUCUGCAUUCUGGACCCAGAGAGAAGGUGUGGGUGGACAAAGCAAAGCAGAGCCCUGACCUCACACCAGCUGGCUGAGCUGUCUUGGCUUGCAUUUGCUGUUCCAGCAUUUGUGGAGUUUGAAAUCUGCAUGCUUGGAGUGCGGAGAGCUGGAUCUUGCACCACAGUCUCCCUGUGGGCUCUUGAAUGAGAAAACCAGGGGAAGCAGAGGUAAGAACCUGUUCAAGAAGGCACAUCUCAGAUGUGGAAGAACCAUGAUUCAACUCGAGUCUGUCUGCUUCCCAAGACUGUGGUAUUUAAACAGCUUAUAAUGAAAAUUCCUUCUAUAGCUCCCCAUAAAAGGGCACACAGUUCUUUCUUAACGUAUUAUUUCAGGCAUUCAUUCACCAUUGAUGUAUUUGUGAAGGUGUUCUCUCUAAAUAAACUAUUGGGACCUUACUUGACUGUGA
rnacentral:lncRNA from 10 species